rnacentral:tRNA from 1 species
GCCUUGAUGGUGAAAUGGUAGACACGCGAGACUCAAAAUCUCGUGCUGAGAGCGUGGAGGUUCGAGUCCUCUCAAGGCA